UGAUCAAGAUGGAUUGUUUACAUGCA
rnacentral:piRNA from 1 species